UACGGAGGAUCCAAGCGUUAUCCGGAAUCAUUGGGUUUAAAGGGUCCGUAGGCGGGUUAAUAAGUCAGUGGUGAAAGUCUGCAGCUCAACUGUAGAAUUGCCAUUGAUACUGUUAACCUUGAGUAAUUAUGAAGUGGUUAGAAUAUGUAGUGUAGCGGUGAAAUGCAUAGAUACCAUAAAGAACACCGAUAGCGAAGGCAGAUCACUAAUAAUGUACUGACGCUGAUGGACGAAAGCGUAGGUAGCGAACAGG
rnacentral:misc_RNA from 1 species